AAAUUAUUUAUGUGCAGUAUUUUAUGUGCUUAAACAAUUUACAUACCUGUAGGUUCUCACUCUGCCUCAAGCUCUUGAUAACAGAGAAGUUCCUGUAUGCUUCACUGGAUUUUUUCACAAAAGGUCCAAGAAAUGGAAGCAAGUUCUACA